rnacentral:rRNA from 1 species
AAUCUGGCUCCUCGGGGCCCGAAUUGUAAUUUGUAGAAGAUGCUUUGGGUCUGGGCCUGGCCUAAGUUCCUUGGAACAGGACGUCGUAGAGGGUGAGAAUCCCGUAUGCGGCUGGCGCCCGUGCCCGUGUAAAGCUCUUUCAACGAGUCGAGUUGUUUGGGAAUGCAGCUCUAAAUGGGUGGUAAAUUUCAUCUAAAGCUAAAUAUUGGCCAGAGACCGAUAGCGCACAAGUAGAGUGAUCGAAAGAUGAAAAGCACUUUGGAAAGAGAGUUAAACAGUACGUGAAAUUGUUGAAAGGGAAGCGCUGGCAACCAGACUUGGGCGCUGUUGAUCCGCUAGGGUUCUCUCUAGGGCACUCGGCAGUGCGCAGGCCAGCAUCGGUUUGGGGGGUUGGAGAAUGGCUGGUGGAAUGUGGCUGUCUUCGGGCAGUGUUAUAGCCACCGGUGGCAUGCAGCCUCCCCGGACCGAGGACCGCGCUUCGGCUAGGAUGCUGGCGUAAUGGUUGUCAGCGACCCGUCUUGAAACACGGACCAAGGAGUCUAACAUCUAUGCGAGUGUUUGGGUGUUAAACCCAUACGCGGAAUGAAAGUGAACGUAGGUGAGAACCCGCAAGGGUGCAUCAUCGACCGAUCCUGAUGUCUUCGGAUGGAUUUGAGUAAGAGCAUAGCUGUUGGGACCCGAAAGAUGGUGAACUAUGCCUGAAUAGGGUGAAGCCAGAGGAAACUCUGGUGGAGGCUCGCAGCGGUUCUGACGUGCAAAUCGAUCGUCAAAUUUGGGUAUA